UACGGAGGGUGCAAGCGUUAUCCGGAUUCACUGGGUUUAAAGGGUGCGUAGGCGGGCGAGUAAGUCAGUGGUGAAAUCUCCGGGCUUAACCUGGAAACUGCCAUUGAUACUAUUUGUUCUUGAAUGACGUGGAGGUGAGCGGAAUAUGUCAUGUAGCGGUGAAAUGCUUAGAUAUGACAUAGAACACCAAUUGCGAAGGCAGCUCACUACACGUAUAUUGACGCUGAUGCACGAAAGCGUGGGGAUCAAACAGG
rnacentral:rRNA from 1 species